rnacentral:lncRNA from 1 species
GUUCUUCUUUUGGGGAUGGCAGGACUGAGGAGGAAGUCAGGAGGCACCAGGCUUUUCUUGGGGCACAGAAUGACUCCCUUACACGACACUCUCCAGGUCCACACCCGCCCUGCUCAUACACAUAAACAGAUGGAAAAGAGGACAGAGCCUGGACUACGGGAAUAGCCAAGCAGCUGUGAGGAGAGAAGAGGAGGAACACCAGGGAGCCCAGAGCCACCAGACAGUGACGCCACAGAGCCACAGCCAUCACACCCGCACAGGAUUCCCGCAUCCUGUGCUAACACAUCCACAAAUGAGCUCAACUCACCUUGCAAAGAGGGAGAACCGCGCGAAUACGGAAUGGAAGCCGAAGAUCUGGCGUGACCGCUGCCGUCUGGGAAGUGUCGCUCCAACCUGAACAUCUCCGGGCGCCGCGGCUCGUCAGAAAGGCCACCGAAGCGCGGAAGUUCCGCGAGAAUGGCACCGCGAGAACCGCCCGGAGCCCGGCCCGAGCGCAGGUCUCUCAGCCAGGAGCGCGACGCGAGGGCGCGUGCGCGGGCACGGAGCCUGCGCGGAGGCCGCUGGUGCGCGUGCUCGGUCCAGAGGCGCCGCUGCGCCCAGGAGGCCGAGCAGGGCGGCCCGGCGCCGGCUCCGAGCGUCACGCCUGUGCGCGCAGAGCCGCGCUGGAGGGUCGGCGGGGCGGCCCCUUGGCGAGAGCGCACGGCGGGUGUGAGCUCUGAGGGCGGGGCCCCGGGCGAGUCCCCUCAGGCGGCUGCAGCCUGGGGACAGCACGUGGGGCAAGUAACUCCUGAUCCCGCCAGGAUGGGCUGGUUUAUUCAGUGUCUGUUAGCUGCGUUUAAAAGGAGUAAACACAUGGAAGAUGUCGUAGACAUACAGAAGGGAAUGCUGUGUGAGGUCGUAGCGAGGACUCUCCUCUUCAGACCAGGGCAGGGAACCCAGCACAGCAGAGGGAUAUGGCACCUGCUUAACUGCUUCAGUGUUUUUGUUAUUAUUGUUGUUUUUUUAUCAAAAUAAAGCAUUGUUUGCUUUGAUUCUCAUUCAGAAUUUUCUUGAAGAUACAUUCCAUCCUUUGAAUUAUAGAAAAUUCCUGUAUUUCAAUGAGGUGAGGACAUAUUCACAGGAAAAUGGAGUUUACUUAUACGUAUGAACCUUCUUGUGUCCAUUAAGGAGACAUGGCAAGACAAAGCUUUCCUCAGCACACUCCACAGACAUCCACUGUUAACUCUUCCUGCUUCCCAUGUCCUAGUUCAACAUGUCAGUUCUGGAACUCCAAAAGUAAGUAAUAGUUCUUCUAAGUGAUCUAGGAUUAACAGAAAAAUUUCUCUGCUCGGGACGUUAUCCCUAUAGUGGAAGCCUAGGCUGAGAAACCCUGAAAUCCAGCUUAAUAAAGUUUCUCUCUGUUGUCUUAUUCA